CCUCCAGGCGGAAACGAAGCCUAAACGUCCGUUUCUUUAAUACAUUAACACCCAACACUAUUCACUCCAAGCAACUUAAAAUCUGAUAAUUUUCGCCGGAGCUCUCUGAACGUCCGUUUGAGCUCAAACUUGACAGUCAUAUUUGGUUUUACGUACUGACCAAGAAUAUAUUUUAAGUUUCCAGUUUCGACCUCAUUUGGUCACCGAAAACUGUACCGAACUGUAAUCUUUAUCAGAUAACUGUCGGAUUUUAUUUCUCACUCUACGGGUGUCAGAAAAAUAUGAAACUUUAAAUCUAGCCUCAUAAAAAUAUUUCUGACUUAUCCUCCAAUUUUCAUAAUUUUCUGAGACUGUGCAUUUUCUGCUAAUUUAUCUGUCCCGUUUCCAACAGAAAAUUCUAGAUCUUCUGUUUUCAUUCCGAUUUCAGCACAAGUCACUUCUGACUUAUGUUUUACUUCUACAAAUCCAAUAAAAAUAGUUUCUCACACUAUUUUUAUUUAUUUUUAUUUUUAUACCAAAAUCUGGUAUGUUACAUUCUCCACCCCUUAAAAGAAUUUCGUCCGCGAAAUUCAAACCACGCCUCAAUUCAGCUCCAUGAGCAAUUGAGGGUACCAACUCAUUCUCCCACUCCAAAGCGGCUUCACACAAUCGUGGUUCCAGAAGCGGCUCAUACUGAAGGACAUGGGUUUAAUCCUAAACGCAUUUGCAAAGUGUGAUACAAACGUGCAUCACGGGUCUUGCAAGUCAUAGUGGCAGCGCAAGUCGGUACUCGACGACUCUACGCGCUCCAACACCACUCACCAUUCGAUACACAAAGAACUCUUCUUUGCACUUACCUUCCCUUCAGGGAAUACAUUCUGAUUCGAUCACCGACAUUGCUUAGAAGCAAUAUCACCGAUGCAUCGCUCCGUCAUGAGUGCUCUAAUUUCGCACUGACCCUUAACUUUAACGCGAGAUGGCCCACUUCGGCACAUCUCAAGUCUCAGUUCGCUUACGAGCAUAGUCUCCAACAUCACGUGGCUUUCCACUAGAUUGAUGUCUCACAAGGAGUACUUCAUCAUCUGAUACCACAUGCCACGAUCAACAUCAAACUAUUUUCGCAACGAGCUCACGCGAGCGCUUCGUUCGUGAAUUCGAGUCAAACUCCUCGAUAAGGCUAUCUGCCAAAUCGCUCUCUUCGGUCUCCACAGGUGGACCAAAGGCCACCAAUCCUACGUAGGCCUACCACCUAAACCUGUCUCAAUACGCAGCGUCUCUCGCUCGCAAAUGCAGACCCAAUCAUGAUCGGGCGAAAUUCUCACUUGGGAAUUCGCACACACUCCAACCAGGAGCAACUAAGACCCCAAACCACGUCAAGUCCUCGGGUUGGGUCACAACCAUACUCGGUGUACCAUCGGUCACACAAUCUAUCACGUGGCAUUCCACGCUCCCGGGCCUAAACUCGGACUACCGUCCUGACCAGAACUCUGCCCUACCCGUAGGUACCGGGCCGCUGUCACUCACAGCUGACUGCGCCUGCCCAAUGGGCCCAGGCUCCACAGUCCACAAAUGGUCCAGGCACGGGUCGUCCCCAAGCACUACCCGCCGUCGUCGUCCUACACGACAUACUCUACCGAGUCACACGUACCAAUAUCGGCUCCUAUGCACCUAGUGCGAGUCACCAGUCCCACGAGUGAUCCAUGGCACGCUUCACACCUAGCAAUGCUCAAGUGCUACUGCCAAUACACUCUCUCGGCUGAAUCCACAUCCGCACUCUACGGGUAUCUACACUCGAGCGCUCUACGCCUCUACAGCGUUCCACACGAAGUCCAGCAUUAGGCAAUCUUGCCUAUGCACACCGGCCGCACGAGCACAACCGCCUACCUCACCUUGAGGUACUACUAGGCCCACGUGCUCAAACUUGGCCACUAAUCGACCGUUCUCUCAACAGUGAUGCUACUUUCACUGUUCGAUCUACCGGACUGACAUCCGAAAUUUUCGGACUACUCGGGUGUUCUCAUAAGCAUCAUGGCUCAACUCUCGCAAUUUACUAUUCAUAAUUGCUCUGAGAGUCGUUUCGCCACUUCUAUCUCUACCGCGAGUCUCACUUCUCGCCAUAGAUUACUUCUAGCACUUCGCUAGUGCCAUCUGGCUCUAUACCUGUACUGGCAGGUACUACGCCCUUACAUAAUAUAAAACUCCAUUUCUAGAGCAAUCAAAUCUAUCUCUAGAAAUCCACCAUGAGAGAGUGCUUAGAAGCUUACCUCUCCAAGAAGCUCCAACCAAGGAGAAGAUGAAGAAGAUGAGGAAGACCUCCUUCUUCUUCUCUUUCUUUCCUUUCCUUUCUUCUUCCUCUUCUUGUCUUCUAGAGAGAGAAAGAGAGAUAUGAGAGGGUGUGUGGGUGAGAAAUAAGAGAAAAGAGCUCUCAUACCCCUCACAUAGCCCCACAUGUUGCAUAAGUGCAAACAAACCCCUCAAAUUUUAUUCUUUUACAUUGCCCUCACUGGGCCACUUUCGGGUUCGGGGACCGGUCUUCCCGACGAGGGACCGGUCUCCGAGAGCUUCUCCCCGCAGUCAGCAGAGCUCACACCCGAUGCAACCGGUCUUUCUUUGGGGGACCGGUCUCUCAGGGACCGGUCUCUCCAGCAGGGACCGGUCUCCGAGCGUUGUCCACCAGGGACUUAGCCGAUUUUUUUUUCUCUCCUCUUGCUGCCUGCGCGUUCGGGGACCGGUCUCUCCCGGCAGGGACCGGUCUCCGAGAACAGAAAACUUGCAGUUUGUAGAUCUUCAUUUCCAAGGCUCUCGAAGAUCCCUAGUAAUGCACUUUUGCAUUAUUNUUUGACGCCUUCGGCCUUUCCAAAGCGUACCAACCUCGCUCUUUGGUCAAUUUGACCAAGGUUCGAUACUUGGUUACUGAAAUUUCGGUAUAUUACAUACCCACUCGAUAACUAGCCGAUCCCGGACGAAGUCCAACUCUCGGCUCUCGAGAAUUCACUUCGUUACAACCAUACUGUACCAGUACACCCCUGGUGUUAAACUGGUAACACAUAUUCCAGGAUUUCGGUUUUGCAUCGCUUCGACACCAAUUCAUGCCGAGCAACGCUAAAACUAUUCUAACUCUUUUAGAACUCAAUUCUAACCCUUCCAACAAUAUUGGAAUGUCAAUUGGACUUUGUCCAACUACUUCUCUCGACGCACUUUGGUCAAUUUGACCAAAAGUGAUCUAACACGAUGAGGAUUCCUUUAAUUUCUCAAAGAUCAUGAGAGACGCCAAAACUCGUGUAGUUCCCAAUCUCCGCACGCCUCAAAUUGCCCAGGGACACCACUUGGCCCAUCCCGCGCCGAUCUAAAAGAAGAUCGCCUACGCGGUGCUAUCGCUUCCUAAAACGCGACAACUCUCCGAAUUUUCUGCUAAUUUAUCUGUCCCGUUUCCAACAGAAAAUUCUAGAUCUUCUGUUUUCAUUCCGAUUUCAGCACAAGUCACUUCUGACUUAUAUUUUACUCCUACAAAUCCAAUAAAAAUAGUUUCUCACACUAUUUUUAUUUAUUUUUAUUUUUAUACUAAAAUCUGGUAUGUUACAUUCUCCACCCCUUAAAAGAAUUUCGUCCGCGAAAUUCAAACAACACCUCAAUUCAGCUCCUCGAGCAAUUGAGGGUACUAACUCAUUCUUCCACUCCAGAGCGGCUCCACACCAUCGUGUUUGAGAAGCGGCUCAUUCUAAGGGACAUGGGUUUGAUAUUAAACACAUUUGCAAAAGGUGAUACAAAAGUGCAUCACGGGUCUUGCAAGUCAUAGUGGCUGCGCAAGUCGGUGCUCGACGACUCUACACGCUCCAACACCACUCACCAUUCGAUACACAAAGAACUCUUCUUUGCACUUACCUUCCCUUCAGGGAAUACAUUCUGAUUCGAUCACCGACAUUGCUUAGGAGCAAUGUCACCGAUGCAUCGCUCCGUUAUGAGUGCUCUAAUUUCGCACUGACCAUUAACUUUAACGUGAGAUGGCCCACUUCGGCACCUCUCAAGUCUUAGUUCGCUUACGAGCAUAAUCUCCAACAUCACGUGGCUUUCCACUCGUUUGAUGUCUCACAAUGAGUACUUCAUC
rnacentral:lncRNA from 1 species